UUUCCAAAUGUAUACAGUCACAACAAUAUUCACUUCUUAUCCUUACCAACCUUUUACGGGCCACCUCACUGUUACCGGUCAUCACCUCCACUGCGUGUGCGCCGAAUGUAAAUGGCGAGCGUCGUUCCUCCGCCGCCUCUGUCCUCCCAUGUCCCCGUCGGAAUCAGCGCGGAAGACCUGACUCGUAUCGACAUCAACCACCUGUCGCAGUCGGAAUUGCAAGCCCUUUCUCUCUGCUCCGUCUCCGCGCGCCUCAGCGACGACGUCGUGUCACCGCAGCUCGACCGAUCUGUGUUCAACGAGUCCGCCGGCAGCCGCCGCCAGACCUACUCCCGCCUCCACCACCGCUCCCAUUCGCGGCUCCCUCGCCUCCACCCCUCCCCUAAGCCCCACAGCUUCCCCAAGCCUUCCUCCGAUCCCGUCAGUAACUCAAUUGUCCACUUCCUCAAACACUUCCUCAAGGGAGACCACAAUCCCCCGCCCCCGCCGCAGGAUUCGCCCAAAGCCGCGGCGCCGGAGCUAGGGUUUCUAGGGUUACAGGAGAAUAUGAAAUUUAAGCGCAAAAGGGCGAGGAGAGGGAGUAAUUUGAGUAAGCCGAUGGUUUUGGGGAAUGGGGUUGGGAUGGAGCUGCAGCGAGUGAAUGGGAAGGGUGAGAUGGUGGAUUUUGCAGAAUUGGAGAAGAAGGGGGAUGAGUUGUACGGCGAUGAGCUGAAGCGGAGGACGGCGGGGUUGGAGACUGAGGAGGCUAUUUUGGGGGUUUUGAGGGAUUUGGAGGGAGAGUGGUGUAGCAGGAGGAAGAAGAGGAAGUAUGUCGACGCCAGCGCCUUUGGAGAUGCACUGCCGGUUGGUUGGAAACUCUUGCUCGGCCUCAGAAGGCGCGGUUACCGGGUUUCUGUAUAUUGCCGGAGAUACAUAAGCCCCACUGGACAACAAUUUCUGUCAUGCAUAGAGGCUGCAUCCUUUUUGAGAUCCUAUUUCAGCAGUAAAGAUGCCGAUCAGCAAAGGAAUCAAAAGACUUCUAGUCUCCAGCAAGCUUAUGCUCUGUCUUCUGAAAUGAGUGCGUGUAUAGCUGGCAAGACGGAUGAUAUGCCGCAUGCCAUUGUAGCCCAUUCAGCACCGGCUAUAAACUCAGCACAUGAGAAUGAGGAUUCUAUGAUGGGCAUAGAGAAUCUCCCUGAAGUUCAAGUUCGGGACAUCUUUGAAUGUUUCAAAUGUAAACUGACGUUUGACAAGAAGAAUGUUUAUUUGCAGCAUCUGUUUUCGUUCCACCAGAAGACUACUAAAAGAUACAAACUUGGGACACCUGUUGGAGAGGGUGUGAUAAUCAAAGAUGGAAAAUACGAAUGCCAGUUCUGCCACAAGGUUUUUCAGGAAAGGCGUAGCUAUAAUGGUCAUGUAGGUAGUCAUGUCAGGAACACUGGGAAAAGCUCUGGUAAACUAGGUGAUGCCCCCAUAAAUGCUGAAUCUGCACUGCUGGAUGGAGAAAAGCCAUCGAAGAUGGAUGCUUUGGUUGAAAUCGCUCAUGAUUCUAUUUUUGAAACAUCAACUAAUGUAAAUGUUGAAGAAACCACAGCAAAUCAGUCGUCUGCUGUAGUUUUGAGAGUAGAAGAAGCUCAGGCAGCCUCCAGUUGUCUUGAAGGAAAAUUAACUCCCGAUCCUGUUAAAAUUCAAGCAGAGGAUUGCAGUGCUGACAAAACUCUUCUUGAAGACUUGGAUCAUGGUAGCCAAGCCUUGACAAAAGACAAUGGCAUCCCGAAUGAUGAUAAAUCUAAUAAUGUGAUCAUCAAGACAAAUACCACUUGCAUAAGUGACUCCGGGCCUGCUAGGUCACGUGAGAUUCGGAAAUGUGAGAACAGUAGCUUGGAAGUGAAUCACGAAAACAGAUCCUUGCAGCCUAGUGAGGAUCAUCUACAAAAUGCACCUGAGCUUACUGUUGAAGAGAUUAUGUUUGAAGGUGGAGUUUCUUCGGGUCCCUUGAGCCAGUCAUUUCAGUUCUUCCCACCCUUUGAUUCCAUGUCAAAUAAGGGUGAACACGAAUUUUCUGUGGUUGAUCAAAAGCUUGAGAAUGUUACUGGGUUUGAAGAACUCGGGUUUGAUGAUAUGGAGCCAUUCAAGUAUGGUUUUGGAAAUGAGCAAGAGUUGUCCCUUUUGCCUGGGGGCUCCAUCAAUCUGGAUAGUAACAACGGGAUGGAAGAUGAAUUUAAUACUUCCGUUGGAUUUGGUCAAGAGGAAAUUAUGCUGAAUACUCUGCACACAAACCAGCUAACCGUGUGUGUUUGGUGCAGAGCAGAGUUCAAACUUGAGGGUUUUGAAUCAGAAACUCUAUCAGAUUCUAUAGGUUAUAUGUGUCCAACGUGCAAGGCCAAAAUAUCUGGGCACUUUGAUGGCGGUCUCUCAAUGGAUUCUCAUAAUUUCUGACUUUUGGGCACCAUCACAUGCUGCGCUCGCGGUCACAGUCCUUUUGAGGAGAGAAGUUCCAAACGGCAUUGUUGAGGAGCUGAUCUCAUGUAUAUAUGAGACUAACUCGUCCAUGCCACCGGAGAUAUGAGAGAAUACAUGGUGCAGAGGAGGAAGAGGACUACAGGCGUGCUCCGACGAAGACAAACAUCCGUAAAGCGCUGAGGUGGCUGGUUGAAGGCAGACGAGCAGGGGACUCGCUGGUGUUCCACUACUCGGGGCAUGGGUCACAGGUGAGGGACCGCGAUGGGGAUGAGGUGGAUGGAUACGACGAGGCCGUACUGCCCGUUGACUACGAGACAGAGGGAAGGAUACUGGAUGAUGAACUGUUGUUAGGCCGUUGCCGAGAGGGGCAACCCUUCAUGCCAUCAUCGACACUUGCUUCAGUGGCACCUUUUUAGAUCUCCCAAAUGUUUGCAGAAUUAAUAGGCAAGCUUACUACAAGUGGGAGGAUCAGCGUCUCUCAAAUGCCGGGGGGCUUCGCCAUAUCUAUCAGCGCCUGUGAAGAAACAGAAACUAAGUUAUGGGAAUCUGCUGCUUGCCCUGCACAACCGGCUCUUGGUCUCAACACAAAUGACUCCAAAUCAACGCAGGAACCUCAACUGUCUUCUUCUCACAAGUUUGACAUUCAGUCAAAGACUUUCACUUUAUAGAGAUGGAUGGCCUGCAUUUAAAGAACUAAAUAAGAAAUGAAUUUACUGCUUUUUUGACAAGCUGAAAUAAAAGUAUAUCCUGUAUGUUUUAGCACCUCGUAUAUCAGUGUAAUCAACUUAAUUAAAUGGCUGCCAAUGUUACUACUUGACUCCAUAAAACUGUAUAAUAGCCAAUGCUACUAUUUGACUCCAUAAUAUGUGCCUGAAAUAUGCAUUUCUCAA